UACGUAGGGUGCAAGCGUUUGUCCGGAAUUAUUGGGCGUAAAGAGCUCGUAGGCGGCUAGUCACGUCGGAUGUGAAAACCCGAGGCUCAACCUCGGGCCUGCAUUCGAUACGGGCUGGCUAGAGUACUGCAGGGGAGACUGGAAUUCCUGGUGUAGCGGUGAAAUGCGCAGAUAUCAGGAGGAACACCGGUGGCGAAGGCGGGUCUCUGGGCAGUAACUGACGCUGGAGGAGCGAAAAGCGUGGGGAGCGAACAGG
rnacentral:rRNA from 1 species